rnacentral:rRNA from 1 species
GCUAAUCUGCGAUAAGCGCCGGUAAGGUGAUAUGAACCGUUAUAACCGGCGAUACCCGAAUGGGGAAACCCAGUGUGACUCGUCACACUAUCAUUAACUGAAUCCAUAGGUUAAUGAGGCGAACCGGGGGAACUGAAACAUCUAAGUACCCCGAGGAAAAGAAAUCAACCGAGAUUCCCCCAGUAGCGGCGAGCGAACGGGGAGGAGCCCAGAGCCUGAAUCAGCAUGUGUGUUAGUGGAAGCGUCUGGAAAGGCGCGCGAUACAGGGUGACAGCCCCGUACACAAAAGCGCAUGUGCUGUGAGCUCGAUGAGUAGGGCGGGACACGUGGUAUCCUGUCUGAAUAUGGGGGGACCAUCCUCCAAGGCUAAAUACUCCUGACUGACCGAUAGUGAACCAGUACCGUGAGGGAAAGGCGAAAAGAACCCCGGCGAGGGGAGUGAAAAAGAACCUGAAACCGUGUACGUACAAGCAGUGGGAGCACCCUUUGGGUGUGACUGCGUACCUUUUGUAUAAUGGGUCAGCGACUUAUAUUCUGUAGCAAGGUUAACCGAAUAGGGGAGC